UCACCCAAGUAGGCACGCACAAUCGUGUGCUAGUGCGAAUACUUUUGCUCGCCACUGUUCAUCUGGCAGUUUUCCGUUCUGGUUUUGACAGCCCGCUUUUCAUCUCUGCGCAGAUUCGACGCGCACGCACUAGAACUUGUUUAAUUUUUAUGUUUUUACUGCACAACUUUGUAAAAUCAGCACACUACAUUUAAAACCGCGCACAGUUAUUUCCGAGUGUCCUGCGGGAGGGGAAGGCCCAUUUACUUUCACCAGCACGAAGAAGAGAAAGAGCACCGUAGUAGGAGUCCCGUUUGUUGGCCUAUUGAUUUGCCCCGACUUUUUGGAGUUUUUCGUUAUUCCUUGCACACCGUUUUCGGCAUCCACCGCCCGCUCCCGCUCCCGCUGCGCCCGCGAAAGACAGCGACACCUGUACAGGAUAUACGUACACCCCGACCAAUGACUUGGCACCUGAAGUUAGGAAAUCGAUAGAAUUAGACCAAUCCGACCAAGAUGCAGUCAAUGAAAGCCGAUGAACUGCCGGAGAAUCCGCGCGAGACGUCGAACAUCUUCUCAUCCCUGAUGUU
rnacentral:sRNA from 1 species